rnacentral:tmRNA from 1 species
AAUAGCCUCUUUGUAGGCUACGUCCGCCCACCCCGCCCUCUGGCCGAUGGUGGUGCCGGGCGAUAAAAAGUCAGAGUGCUGUGCGUUUAGCCGUGGAGCGCACAAAAGAGGGCUUUCGGGUCCGAACGGCUGGCUGGUCACUGGUUUGUCCGCCCUCCGGUGCACUGGCGAGAAAUCAGACGGUCUACGCUCGUAGAUAUUCGAGGGUCGAAUCUUUCGGACGCGGGUUCGAUUCCCGCCAUCUCCACCU